AUGAUUUCUCUGUUGCAGGCUCUUGCCCUCUUCGCCCUCGUCGCCGCCGCCUCAGCCGGCUACGUAGCCCCCUACAGCUACCCAGCCUACCCAGCGGCCCCAGCUUACGGGUAUGCAUCACCCUACAGCUACGCCCACGCCCCCGUGGCCGCCCCAGUCGUCUACAAGGCCCCCGUCGUCGCCCACGCUCCCGUUGUAGCCCACGCCCCAGUCGCUGUUGCCCACGCUCCAGUCGCCACCUCAUACGCCAACACCUACAAGGUCUCAGUUAAGGCCCCAGUCGCCUACGCUGCCCCCGCCUACGGCUACGCCGCCGCCCCCGUGUACGCUCACGGAUACUCCAGCUACUACCACUAAGCUAGUCGCCUGAGAGCCACCAACACUGCCAUCAAACACUCCCCUCAACUUCUUCUCCUUGAAAAUCUCACGUUUUAAAUUAAUUUAAUUUAUUCUCAGCCAUUAGUGUAAAUAAUUUGCUCAAGUUUCACAAUGAAAACCAAGUCAUGUAAAGUAUCAUGUUUUAUUAACAUGUGAAGAAUAAAACAACCUGCCAUCGAAUACGUUUUGAUCAUUAUCAUUCCGAUGUCCUCUAUGAAAGUGAAGCGCAAGAGAACAGAUCGUAUUCGAUACAUCAAACGGGUGAGAUUGUAUCGAUAUCGAUUGGCUCAAAACAUAAACAUAGCCUCAAAAGUCAAUUCAGAAAUCUGAGGGAACAGGUCUUUUGAAAUAGAUUUUUUAUUUUUUUGAGUACCAAAUGCCAGUCCAAAGUGAAAUUGUUGGGAAUUUUCUCAUUUUCAGCGUUUCCUACUUAAAUCCUAAUGGUUUUGUAUGAGGUUAUGUUCUAUUGUUUUGAACCAAACGAUACAUCGAACCACUAUCGAAUACGGUCUACUAAAGGUGACUCGAUGGACGCCAUAUUUUGUGUCAGAACGGUAUGCGAUACAUCGCAUGAAUUGGUUCCACUUUUUUAGCUACUCGGUCAUUUUUUUCUAAUUUUGGGAUCGCAAUUCUGUUGUCAGGAGACUAAAGCACUCACUUACUACCAAUUUUAACAAAGAAAUUCAACGUAAUAAAGGCGUGGUUUUUUCAGAGAGAAAACAUCGCAUUCGAUACUGAUAUCGAAACUGCACUCGAAUGCGAUAUUUUCUCUCUUAAAAAAACCACGCCUUCCUUAGGUUGAAUUUCUUUGCUAAAAUUGGUAAGUAAGUGCUUUAGUCUCCUGACAACAAAAUUGCGAUCUCAAAAUUGGAUAAAAAUGACAAGUAGCUGAAAAAAUGGAGCCAACUGAUGCGAUUUAUCGCAUGCCAGUCUGACACAUAAUAUGGCGUCCAUCGAAUCACCUUAAGCUUAUGCAUCAUUAAUUGUGCGAAACCGCUUUUGUGUAUGAAAAUUAAUGUGUAACUGCGGAGACUAAACGGACUCCGAAAUAGUGGCGUGGCACGCUGAGCGAUGUAUCGAUUGAUCUGCCAUUUAAACCUAUGGAGAAGGAUCGAUAAACAGGUUGUUUGCAAUGAGCAACUGAAUAAUCGAUUCUUUACCAUUGCCUCAAAUAGGGCAAUAUCGAUAAUCGAUCAUCCACGCGCCUCGCGACUGCUCCGAAAAUCCCCUGGAGUAAAAUAAUAUACUUUUUUGUUAACGAUACGUCAUAAAAUCAAGCAAAAAUGCUCUUAAAAUUGAAACUAACGUUCAGCGCAACGAAAAAAUCGAUUUGGGUCCAGAAAUGUUAAAUUUUCAGUUCUUGAUGCACGCCUUCUUAGCACGAAUGCAGCGCCUUUAAUUUCACGAUAAGCCAACAGCAAAGCAAUAACGCAGAGCUGUUUUUGCUUCCCAGAUAUCUCUCUUACGUGAACGUUUUCCAGAAUAAUUUUGCAUUUUUUCACAGGGCUUUGAGCUCAUAAUUCUUUUUCAAAGUUCCUUUAAAUGAAAUUUCAAUAGGACAACAUUUUACAAUAAGGAACCACAUAAAGCUACAAUCUCCUUUUAAAUUGCAUUAUUCAGCGGACAAAUUAUUGAAAUUUAUGGAUAAAGCUACAGACAGAGAGGACAAAAUGGUUAUGGACGGAUCCUAUUGGUUGAAGCAGGUGGUAAUUGCAAUAGAUAGGUAACACAUACCUUCUUCUAUCUAACGGCAACCAUCGAGAUACCCUGGUAAGUCCAUCAUUUUCUCCCAGAGUCUAUAGGGACCACCCAUUUCAAACAAAAGGACCGUUCCAUACUCUCUAUGUUUUCUUUGUCCAUAGUUUUUUUUUUUUUUAUAAAUUUCAACAAUCAGCUCACAGACAUGAUCAGAUUUUCGAGUGCUCAUGAAAAAUAUUUCCCGGAUUAAUAGCUCAAGUGGCAUCACGGUAUCCUGUCGACAAAACACCUGUUUACAUCGACAAAGGCUAUCGUGGUCCAACCUGUAAUUGCUGAGUUAUGACACGCUGAUUCCUGAUUUACCGUCGCGCGCAAUCAGCAUGAUCAGUUGGAGGUAAUGCCACAUUGGUUUAGAAAUCUUUACCUCUACGCGGUUCUACGGGCAUGGUAAGUUUGGAGUUUUAACGAUCGACGUAAUUCUAUUAUUUAUUAGUGUCUGAUCAACACGGCGUAACUAACGGACUGGCAUAACUCUGUGUGGGUAUUUUUAAAAAGGCUUAAGCCUUGAUAUCUCCAUCACCACGCUAAUAAUUUUAAAUUCGUAAAUAACCUGGGAAAAGUUGCAUUUUGACGCUUAAUUCAGAGAUUUAUAACGGCAACGGAAUUGCCAUUGUUGUCUCAAGUAAAAACAUAUAUACGAUUAGGCUGUACAGUUUUCAAAGACCUAUAGGGGGAGCACUAAAAUUGAAACUCUAAACGUACCUAAACCCAAAGAGGGUUUGCUGAAGAAAGUAACUUCCCGAGGAUAAAGAAGAAGUCCAAGGUGUUACGUUAGAUUUUUCUUUUUUUUUUUCUUAGAAUGUAUAAGCAACAAACAGUAAACUGCUAAAAGAAGCACUUUGUAUGGAUUCAGAAAUAUAUAGAUUUCCGUAACUUUAAACAGUCCGAGAACGUGGCUUUACUUUUUAAUACAAUUAGAUUUUUCAGGAGCAAUUGAAACAUUGCGGUGAUUCUAAACAUGUCAUAAUUUUUUAGAAAAUUGACAACGUUGCAAGAACAGACCAGACAAGACUAUUUUGUUGUUUUUAUUUCGGUAGAUUUUCUAAUUAACGAUGAUAUCAAAAAGUAAUUGAAGUCUUUGAGAAACUCUAAAAGUCGAGAUAAAACAAGAAGUUUUCCAAUUCAUAGACAGUCUGUAACGUUGCUUCUUAUUUUAUUUCUCUAUUUUUUUAAGAAAUAGCUAAUAACCGAGAUCUCCGACAAGAUACUCUAUCGAUGGUGUAACUGCAAAAAUGAGCAUCUCGGUUGUGGUGUUUCGGAAUCUCCGUUCCUAUUUUUUUUAUAUUUUUAUUUUUUUUUUUCAAAGGAGACCAAACCAACAUUAUGGCUUAAAGUUUUUCACAGAAUUUUUUUCACGAAGAAAGGAAAAAUCACUGAAAUUUUCAAAAAAUGACGUUCAGGAAUUUUCCACGUAGAAAAUAAAGUGUGACAGGACAGGAAGUCAUGCAAAGUAGCAAUAACCGGGAUGCGCACAUUCGCAGUUUCACCAUCGAUGUUACGUCAAAUUAAUGAAAAUGUAUUGAUAUCAGUAAAAAAAGAGUAACUCUGCAAUGAAAACAAGCGAAAAAGUUCUAAUACGGUCGUAUUAGAAAAGCGCUCAGGUGUUAGUCUAUGUAUUUAGUGAAAAAUACAAAUUUUAUAUAGUUACACAUUUCUUUAUUUGCCUUCUGAAUUUACAUUGUUAAUAAUUGAUUAAUAAUAUUGUUAAUAUACAUAGUUCCUAUUCUUUUGUUUUAUUCCUUACCACUUGUUUAUUUUUAAUCCUCG
rnacentral:lncRNA from 1 species